rnacentral:rRNA from 1 species
GAGUUUGAUCAUGGCUCAGAACGAACGCUGGCGGCGUGGAUAAGACAUGCAAGUCGAACGGGACAACAUUUGUAGCAAUACAGAUGUUGUUUAGUGGCGAACGGGUGCGUAACGCGUGGGCAAUCUGCCGAGAAGUGGGGGAUAGCUCGCCGAAAGGCGAAUUAAUACCGCAUAUGGUCAGGGAAGACAUCUUCCUGAAUCCAAAGCCGGGGCAACCUGGCGCUUUUUGAGGAGCCCGCGGCCUAUCAGCUAGUUGGUGAGGUAACGGCUCACCAAGGCUUUGACGGGUAGCUGGUCUGAGAGGACGACCAGUCACACUGGAACUGAGACACGGUCCAGACACCUACGGGUGGCAGCAGUCGAGAAUUUUUCUCAAUGGGGGCAACCCUGAAGGAGCGACGCCGCGUGGAGGAUGAAGGCUUUCGGGUUGUAAACUCCUGUCAUUUGAGAACAAGUGGGACGCAGUAACUACGCGUCCCUUGGUAGUAUCAGAAGAGGAAGGGACGGCUAACUCUGUGCCAGCAGCCGCGGUAAUACAGAGGUCCCAAGCGUUGUUCGGAUUCAUUGGGCGUAAAGGGUGCGUAGGUGGCGCCGUAAGUCGGGUGUGAAAUUUCGGAGCUUA